CUAGCGGCGGACGGGUGAGUAACGCGUGAAGCAACCUGUCCCUUACAGGGGGAUAACACAGCGAAAGUUGUACUAAUACCGCAUGAGACCACAGCAUCACAUGGUGCAGGGGUCAAAGGAGCAAUCCGGUAAGGGGUGGGCUCGCGUCCGAUUAGAUAGUUGGUGAGGUAACGGCCCACCAAGUCGACGAUCGGUAGCCGACCUGAGAGGGUGAUCGGCCACAUUGGGACUGAGACACGGCCCAACUCCUACGGGAGGCAGCAGUGGGGAAUAUUGGGCAAUGGGGGGAAACCCUGACCCAGCAACGCCGCGUGAGGGAAGAAGGUUUUCGGAUCGUAAACCUCUGUCCCAGGUGAAGAGGAAGAGACGGUAGCCUGGGAGGAAGCCCCGGCUAACUACGUGCCAGCCGCUGC
rnacentral:rRNA from 1 species